rnacentral:rRNA from 1 species
UACGGAGGAUGCGAGCGUUAUCCGGAUUUAUUGGGUUUAAAGGGUGCGCAGGCGGCCUGUUAAGUCAGCGGUAAAAGCCCGGGGCUCAACCCCGGCGAGCCGUUGAAACUGGCGGGCUGGAGUUGGAGAGAAGUACGCGGAAUGCGCAGUGUAGCGGUGAAAUGCUUAGAUAUUGCGCAGAACUCCGAUUGCGAAGGCAGCAUACCGGCGGCGAUCUGACGCUGAGGCACGAAAGCGUGGGUAUCGAACAGG